AAAGCUCUAGUUUGGUUUUAUAGAGUUUCCGGGAAAACUCUUAGGUUGAGUCUACCUUUAAAGAUUUCAGAGGUUUUUAAGAGUUCCUUGAUACUCUAAGGUACUAACUUGCCCGUAAAAGUUAGAGGUUCUUAAGAGUGCCCUUGAUACUCUAAGGUGUGAGUCUACCCGUAAAAGACUGGUUCCUAAGCGUAGUAGCCUUAAAGCUUAGAAAAGGUUUUGCCAUUACCUUUAGGCGAGUGAAAUCCGGCAGUUGGUCGGGACUGGACUAGCCCGUGUUUGGGUGAACCAGUAUAAAUCUCUUGUGUUGUUCUCUGUUAAUUUUAGUUUUAUCUUUCACUUAAAAAACAACACAUAAUUAAAAAGAUCCCUCUUCCAGUUAUCUGGUCAAGUACAGAGGUUGACUACUUUACGCAGAUCCCUCAUCCAGUUAUCUGGUCAACUAUCUGAGGUUAUAUUUAUUGCUUUAAAUUCUUAUAUUUCUUAUCAUAUUUAUCCAGUUAUCUGGUCAUUUACUUGUUUAUCAGAUUAUCCAGUUAUCUGGUCAUUUACUUGUUUAUCAAUAUAUCCAGUUAUCUGGUCAUUUACUUGCUUAUCUAUAUAUCCAGUUAUCUGGUCAUUUACUCUACAAUACAAUUUGUGUUUUCAAUAUAACUUAGUAUUCAUAUACUAUAGUUGUACUUGAAACAUAAUCAAGCAAGUUGACUCAGUAUUCAUAUACUGUAGUAAGCUUCAAAGAGUAAUACUUGCAAUACUAUAAAAUAAUAAUAUUCUUAUAUCAUUACUGUUCAACCAUUUGUUUGCUAAGUAUUUACAGGUAAUUCCGCUAUCAACCUGUCUAAAUCGAAAAGAGGCUAUCACCCCCCCUUAUAGCCUCGGAUCACGAUCCAACAAAAA
rnacentral:lncRNA from 1 species